rnacentral:rRNA from 1 species
UACGGGGGGAGCAAGCGUUUGUUCGGAUUUACUGGGCGUAAAGGGCUCGUAGGCGGCCAACUAAGUCAGACGUGAAAUCCCUCGGCUUAACCGGGGAACUGCGUCUGAUACUGGAUGGCUUGAGAUUGGGAGAGGGAUGCGGAAUUCCAGGUGUAGCGGUGAAAUGCGUAGAUAUCUGGAGGAACACCGGUGGCGAAGGCGGCAUCCUGGACCAACACUGACGCUGAGGAGCGAAAAGCCAGGGGGAGCAAACGGGG